rnacentral:lncRNA from 1 species
AAAAGGUAUAUCUAACUGACAGUUUAUAUGUACUGCAUAUUCAUGAGCAAUAAAAAAGGUAUUGGAGAUCUCUCUCUAUAUAUAUAUAUGUGUGUGUGUGUGAAUAACUAUUUUCAUACAAAAGUUUUAUAUCAUAUAUAUUAAUCCUUUGCAUCUGUACCUUUUCUAUAAAGGGGUCAUGCCAAACUCUAUAGUCUCAUAAUGAUUAUUUUAUCUUCUAAAUCUCUAUGAGCUAACCAUAGUGUCAUUUAAUUGCACUUGAGAUAGUUGAGAUACUUUUUUGCUUACCAUUUGUGAGAUCAAAGUUUGAGAAGUAAAAUUUUUCUACUAGGGAGACAAGAACAAGACAUACAGAACAAGUAAUUAUCUGCUUGCCUCUUUAAUUCUUCUUUCUUUGCAUUGAAGACUAUUUCCAUCUCCUUCUUUUUGUCCGCACAUUGGCUUCUUCUCCUUCUAAUCUUCUCGUCCUCUUUAUCCCUAAUAUGCUUUUCAAUUCUCGUCCUUCUUUUCGGUAGCCAAGUUUGGUUUUUAUUUUUCUUUCUACUUUUCGCUUUCGUUGGUGUGAAACCCGAUAAACCUCUCUACCUCCUCUAUUGACGGGCCACUUUAUUGCCUCCAUCUGUAUUUCUACCUCCUCCUCCCUCUGCUGUCUUCAUUGCUUCUCCACUUUCACAUCUCUACAUCUGACACUUUUGCUGUUGGUACAAGCUGGAGAACUCGAGGAGAAACUGCAGAGGCCGGAGAACUCGAGGUUUGUAUGUUGACCUAAACAUUCAUUUUAUUUUGACAACUCUGCAGACUCAGUUUCUUCAUUGGAUCAUCUUAUUUCUUUUGAUUCUUGCCAUGACCUGUACAAUUUUUCAGGUCCUUUUCUUAUUGACUUCCAUGUUUAUUC